AAAAAGAACCUGAAACCGUGUACGUACAAGCAGUGGGAGCACCUUCGGGUGUGACUGCGUACCUUUUGUAUAAUGGGUCAGCGACUUAUAUUCUGUAGCAAGGUUAACCGUAUAGGGGAGCCGCAGGGAAACCGAGUCUUAACUGGGCGUUAAGUUGCAGGGUAUAGACCCGAAACCCGGUGAUCUAGCCAUGGGCAGGUUGAAGGUUGGGUAACACUAACUGGAGGACCGAACCGACUAAUGUUGAAAAAUUAGCGGAUGACUUGUGGCUGGGGGUGAAAGGCCAAUCAAACCGGGAGAUAGCUGGUUCUCCCCGAAAGCUAUUUAGGUAGCGCCUCGUGAAUUCAUCUUCGGGGGUAGAGCACUGUUUCGGCUAGGGGGUCAUCCCGACUUACCAACCCGAUGCAAACUACGAAUACCGAAGAAUGUUAUCACGGGAGACACACGGCGGGUGCUAACGUCCGUCGUGAAGAGGGAAACAACCCAGACCGCCAGCUAAGGUCCCAAAGUCAUGGUUAAGUGGGAAACGAUGUGGGAAGGCACAGACAGCCAGGAUGUUGGCUUAGAAGCAGCCAUCAUUUAAAGAAAGCGUAAUAGCUCACUGGUCGAGUCGGCCUGCGCGGAAGAUGUAACGGGGCUAAACCAUGCACCGAAGCUGCGGCAGCGACACUAUGUGUUGUUGGGUAGGGGAGCGUUCUGUAAGCCUGCGAAGGUGACCUGUGAGGGUUGCUGGAGGUAUCAGAAGUGCGAAUGCUGACAUAAGUAACGAUAAAGCGGGUGAAAAGCCCGCUCGCCGGAAGACCAAGGGUUCCUGUCCAACGUUAAUCGGGGCAGGGUGAGUCGACCCCUAAGGCGAGGCCGAAAGGCGUAGUCGAUGGGAAACAGGUUAAUAUUCCUGUACUUGGUGUUACUGCGAAGGGGGGACGGAGAAGGCUAUGUUAGCCGGGCGACGGUUGUCCCGGUUUAAGCAUGUAGGCUGGUUGUCCAGGCAAAUCCGGAUAAUCAAGGCUGAGGUGUGAUGACGAGGCACUACGGUGCUGAAGUAACAAAUGCCCUGCUUCCAGGAAAAGCCUCUAAGCAUCAGGUAACAUCAAAUCGUACCCCAAACCGACACAGGUGGUCAGGUAGAGAAUACCAAGGCGCUUGAGAGAACUCGGGUGAAGGAACUAGGCAAAAUGGUGCCGUAACUUCGGGAGAAGGCACGCUGGUGUGUAGGUGAAGUCCCUGCGGAUGGAGCUGAGACCAGUCGAAGAUACCAGCUGGCUGCAACUGUUUAUUAAAAACACAGCACUGUGCAAACACGAAAGUGGACGUAUACGGUGUGACGCCUGCCCGGUGCCGGAAGGUUAAUUGAUGGGGUUAUCCGUAAGGAGAAGCUCUUGAUCGAAGCCCCGGUAAACGGCGGCCGUAACUAUAACGGUCCUAAGGUAGCGAAAUUCCUUGUCGGGUAAGUUCCGACCUGCACGAAUGGCGUAAUGAUGGCCAGGCUGUCUCCACCCGAGACUCAGUGAAAUUGAACUCGCUGUGAAGAUGCAGUGUACCCGCGGCAAGACGGAAAGACCCCGUGAACCUUUACUAUAGCUUGACACUGAACAUUGAGCCUUGAUGUGUAGGAUAGGUGGGAGGCUUUGAAGCGUGGACGCCAGUCUGCGUGGAGCCAACCUUGAAAUACCACCCUUUAAUGUUUGAUGUUCUAACGUUGGCCCCUGACCGGGGUUGCGGACAGUGUCUGGUGGGUAGUUUGACUGGGGCGGUCUCCUCCCAAAGCGUAACGGAGGAGCACGAAGGUUAGCUAAUCCUGGUCGGACAUCAGGAGGUUAGUGCAAUGGCAUAAGCUAGCUUGACUGCGAGCGUGACGGCGCGAGCAGGUGCGAAAGCAGGUCAUAGUGAUCCGGUGGUUCUGAAUGGAAGGGCCAUCGCUCAACGGAUAAAAGGUACUCCGGGGAUAACAGGCUGAUACCGCCCAAGAGUUCAUAUCGACGGCGGUGUUUGGCACCUCGAUGUCGGCUCAUCACAUCCUGGGGCUGAAGUAGGUCCCAAGGGUAUGGCUGUUCGCCAUUUAAAGUGGUACGCGAGCUGGGUUUAGAACGUCGUGAGACAGUUCGGUCCCUAUCUGCCGUGGGCGCUGGAGAAUUGAGGGGGGCUGCUCCUAGUACGAGAGGACCGGAGUGGACGCAUCACUGGUGUUCGGGUUGUCAUGCCAAUGGCACUGCCCGGUAGCUAAAUGCGGAAGAGAUAAGUGCUGAAAGCAUCUAAGCACGAAACUUGCCCCGAGAUGAGUUCUCCCUGAGACUUUAAGUCUCCUGAAGGAACGUUGAAGACGACGACGUUGAUAGGCCGGGUGUGUAAGCGCAGCGAUGCGUUGAGCUAACCGGUACUAAUGAACCGUGAGGCUUAACCUUACAACGCCGAAG
rnacentral:rRNA from 1 species